GAUGAACGCUGUCUACAGGCUUAACACAUGCAAGUCGAGGGGAAACGACGGGGAAGCUUGCUUCCCCGGGCGUCGACCGGCGCACGGGUGAGUAACGCGUAUCCAACCUGCCUCUGACUGAGGGAUAACCCGUCGAAAGUCGGCCUAAUACCUCAUGGCAUCGUCUGCGGGCAUCCAACGACGAUUAAAGAUUUCAUCGGUCAGGGAUGGGGAUGCGUCUGAUUAGCUUGUUGGCGGGGUAACGGCCCACCAAGGCUACGAUCAGUAGGGGUUCUGAGAGGAAGGUCCCCCACAUUGGAACUGAGACACGGUCCAAACUCCUACGGGAGGCAGCAGUGAGGAAUAUUGGUCAAUGGGCGGGAGCCUGAACCAGCCAAGUAGCGUGCAGGAUGACGGCCCUAUGGGUUGUAAACUGCUUUUAUGCGGGGAUAAAGUGAGGGACGUGUCCUUCAUUGCAGGUACCGCAGGAAUAAGGACCGGCUAAUUCCGU
rnacentral:rRNA from 1 species